rnacentral:rRNA from 1 species
GAUGAACGCUGGCGGCGUGCCUAAUACAUGCAAGUCGAGCGAACGGACGAGAAGCUUGCUUCUCUGAUGUUAGCGGCGGACGGGUGAGUAACACGUGGAUAACCUACCUAUAAGACUGGGAUAACUUCGGGAAACCGUAGCUAAUACCGGAUAAUAUUUUGAACCGCAUUGUUCAAAAGUGAAAGACGGUCUUUCUGUCACUUAUAGAUGGAUCCGCGCUGCAUUAGCUAGUUGGUAAGGUAACGGCUUACCAAGGCAACGAUGCAUAGCCGACCUGAGAGGGUGAUCGGCCACACUGAAACUGAGACACGGUCCAGACUCCUACGGGAGGCAGCAGUAGGGAAUCUUCCGCAAUGGGCGAAAGCCUGACGGAGCAACGCCGCGUGAGUGAUGAAGGUCUUCGGAUCGUAAAACUCUGUUAUUAGGGAAGAACAUAUGUGUAAGUAACUGUGCACAUCUUGACGGUACCUAAUCAGAAAGCCACGGCUAACUACGUG